GAUGAACGCUGGCGGCGUGCUUAACACAUGCAAGUCGAACGGUGAACGAGGGAGCUUGCUCCCUCCGGAUCAGUGGCGAACGGGUGAGUAACACGUGAGCAAUCUGCCCUGGACUCUGGGAUAAGCGUUGGAAACGACGUCUAAUACCGGAUACGAGGCGUGGGGGCAUCCCCACGCCUGGAAAGAACUUCGGUCCAGGAUGAGCUCGCGGCCUAUCAGCUAGUUGGUGAGGUAACGGCUCACCAAGGCGACGACGGGUAGCCGGCCUGAGAGGGUGACCGGCCACACUGGGACUGAGACACGGCCCAGACUCCUACGGGAGGCAGCAGUGGGGAAUAUUGCACAAUGGGCGCAAGCCUGAUGCAGCAACGCCGCGUGAGGGACGACGGCCUUCGGGUUGUAAACUGCUUUUAUCUGUGACGAUUAUGACGGUAGCAGAUGAAUAAGGAUCGGCUAACUCCGUGCCAGCCGCCGCCGUAAAAC
rnacentral:rRNA from 1 species